UACGUAGGGUGCAGGCGUUAAUCGGAAUUACUGGGCGUAAAGCGUGCGCAGGCGGUUUGCUAAGACAGGUGUGAAAUCCCCGGGCUUAACCUGGGGACGCCACCCGAUACUGCCGUGGCUAGAGUCCGGUAGGGGAGCGUGGAAUUCCUGGUGUAGCGGUGAAAUGCGCAGAUAUCAGGAGGAACACCGAUGGCGAAGGCAGGAUCUCCUGGGCCGACUACUGACGCUGAGAAGCGAAAGCAUGGGGAGCGAACAGG
rnacentral:rRNA from 1 species